rnacentral:rRNA from 1 species
AUUGAACGCUGGCGGCAGGCCUAACACAUGCAAGUCGAGCGGCAGCGGGAAAGUAGCUUGCUACUUUUGCCGGCGAGCGGCGGACGGGUGAGUAAUGCCUGGGAAAUUGCCCAGUCGAGGGGGAUAACAGUUGGAAACGACUGCUAAUACCGCAUACGCCCUACGGGGGAAAGCAGGGGACCUUCGGGCCUUGCGCGAUUGGAUAUGCCCAGGUGGGAUUAGCUAGUUGGUGAGGUAAUGGCUCACCAAGGCGACGAUCCCUAGCUGGGCUGGGAGGAUGAUCGGCCACACUGGAACUGAGACACGGGCCAGACUCCUACGGGAGGCAGCAGUGGGGAAUAUUGCACAAUGGGGGAAACCCUGAUGCAGCCAUGCCGCGUGUGUGAAGAAGGCCUUCGGGUUGUAAAGCACUUUCAGCGAGGAGGAAAGGUUGAUGCCUAAUACGUAUCAACUGCGACGUUACUCGCAGAAGAAGCACCGGCUAACUCCGUGCCAGCCGCCGCCGUAAAAC